rnacentral:lncRNA from 1 species
CUGGGUCACUUCUCCUUCCACAGUAGGCCACACAGCAUGGUAAUUCACUUUAUGUUGCCUUCCCUUCUGGAGUUAAAAUUCCAUGUAAAGAAUAAAGUAGAUCCUAUGACAUCUGUACUCUUAAAAUUGAUCUGUGUGGACUGGGGAUUUGUUUUGUUAUUUUUUGUUAUUUUUUUUGGUUUCUGAGCCUGUUUUGUUUGCAAGAGGAGUAUGUAUUCUACAGGACUGUGACUAGAUAUUCUGAAUUUGGGUGAUGGGAAGCAUGUUCCAAUAUUCCAUUCUUUCAGUAAGUAAACAUUUUUAUAACCCAAAUUAAAAAACUAUGUACAAAUUACUGAAGCUUUCAGAAAAGUCUCUUACAUGUAGAAAUAUGGAUAAGAGUAGACACAGCAGGGGAUAAUAGGUGUGUAUGCUGAGUGCUUACAGUAGCUGGCCUCCUCUAGGCCACCCAAUACUCUUCCAGAUUCCCCCAUCACACCCUUCACUCCACCACCUACCCUGUGCUUAUGUUAAGACUCCCACUUUCCAACAAACUUAUCAGACAGGGCUUUUACACAGUUUGGGGAGGGCUUGGAUUACAGACAAAAGAAACAGAGCAUGGGGGAUCUUUAUUUUUUUCUUCAAGUUGGACAGAUUGCUACAAUGCUUAGAAUAAAAGGAAAUACAUGAUUGUAGCUUGUAGAAAAAA